GCCUACGUAGCUCAGUGGUAGAGCACUUCCUUGGUAAGGAAGAGGUCGCCGGUUCAACCCCGGCCGUAGGCU
rnacentral:tRNA from 1 species